ACGUAGGGUGCAAGCGUUGUCCGGAAUUAUUGGGCGUAAAGAGCUUGUAGGCGGUUUGUCGCGUCUGCUGUGAAAUUUCGGGGCUCAACCCCGAACUUGCAGUGGGUACGGGCAGACUAGAGUGUGGUAGGGGAGACUGGAAUUCCUGGUGUAGCGGUGAAAUGCGCAGAUAUCAGGAGGAACACCGAUGGCGAAGGCAGGUCUCUGGGCCACUACUGACGCUGAGAAGCGAAAGCAUGGGGAGCGAACAGGAUUAGAUACCCUGGUAGUCCAUGCCGUAAACGUUGGGAACUAGGUGUGGGUCUCAUUCCACGAGAUCCGUGCCGCAGCUAACGCAUUAAGUUCCCCGCCUGGGGAGUACGGCCGCAAGGCUA
rnacentral:rRNA from 1 species